AGCCGGGGCGGUAUCAUUUAC
rnacentral:rRNA from 1 species